rnacentral:rRNA from 1 species
CGGCGAGUGAAGCGGUAACAGCUCAAAUUUGAAAUCUGGCUCCACUGGAGUCCGAGUUGUAAUUUGUAGAAGAUGCUUUGGGUUGUGGGUUCGGCCUAAGUUCCUUGGAACAGGACGUCAUAGAGGGUGAGAAUCCCGUAUGUGGCCGAGGCCCGCGCCUAUGUAAAGCUCUUUCAACGAGUCGAGUUGUUUGGGAAUGCAGCUCAAAAUGGGUGGUAAAUUUCAUCUAAAGCUAAAUAUGGGCCAGAGACCGAUAGCGCACAAGUAGAGUGAUCGAAAGAUGAAAAGCACUUUGGAAAGAGAGUUAAACAGUACGUGAAAUUGUUGAAAGGGAAGCGCUUGCACCCAGACUUGGGCGCUGCUGAUCACCUUGAGGUCUCCUCGAGUGCACUCGACAGCGCACAGGCCAGCAUCGGUUCGGGUGGCUGGAUAAAGGCCGUAGGAACGUAGCUCCUUUCGGGGAGUGUUAUAGCCUACGGUGCCAUGCAGCCCAGCCGGACCGAGGACCGCGCCUUCGGGCUAGGAUGCUGGCGUAAUGGGUGUAAGCGACCCGUCUUGAA